UCCGUAGGCGGGCUAAUAAGUCAGGGGUGAAAUCCAACAGCUUAACUGUUGAACUGCCUUUGAUACUGUUAGUCUUGAAUUAUAUGGAAGUAGAUAGAAUGUGUAGUGUAGCGGUGAAAUGCUUAGAGAUUACACAGAAUACCGAUUGCGAAGGCAGUCUACUACGUAUAUAUUGACGCUAAUGGACGAAAGCGUGGGGAGCGAACAGGAUUAGAUACCCUGGUAGUC
rnacentral:rRNA from 1 species